rnacentral:pre_miRNA from 1 species
CAUGUUAACUAAUGCAUUCAACUGUCCAAUAUCUGAAGAACUAAGAAAGUUGUCAUGAAUGAAUCUUACAGGAUUGGCAUUUGAGCAUAUUGGACAGUUGAAUGAUUAGUUAACGUG